UUCAUAUUAGUUUUUCAGCAUGUUAUUAGUAUAAAUCAUUUUUUAUUUUUAUCGUAGUUCAGGAUUGCAUGUUGUUCAUAUUACUUUUUCAGCAUGUUAUUAGUAUAAAGCAUGACUUUGAAGUACCGAAAUAUGCAAACAAAUUGAGUGGGUAGGUAAGUGGCAUUAUGGUCAUUUUGGUGUUGAUACUUGUGUUGUUGCAAAUUUAUUUGCAAUAUUUUGAUGCAUAGCAAAUGGAGAAGCAGUAAUUGUUAUUUUUUCAAUUAAUUGAAUUUGCCAAAGCACUAAAAAUGGAGUGCAAUACAGAUGAAGCUUUAAGGGCGAAAGAAAUAGUAGAGAGGAAAUUUUUAACAAAGGAAAUUUCAGGGGCAAACCUUGAGAGGGCAUUACCGUAAUUUUGCUUUGUCUCUUCAUCCGGACAAGAACAAAUCCAUAGGGGCAGAUGGGGCAUUUAAUUAUAUUUCAGAAGCACGGAGUCUGUUGUAUGAUAAAGCAAGAAGAAAAGUGUAUGACCAAAAGAGAAACAUAAACACUAACCGAAAUGGUUUCUACAAUUUUACAAGGAGUAAAACUACAACUAAAACUCCUAUGCCCAAAUUGCCUUGAACCCUUUUUAGCAAUUGAGACUCCUGCCCCUAAUACAAAUGUUUCUACAAAAGGUUUAAAAAGCUCCAAAAUGUCAACCAAGAAUCAAGCGAGACAUAGGAAAGGUGAACAUAUUGGUGGUUACACAACCUACCAGAUGGGAAAGAAGCGAAGGGUAUUUUUGGAAAGGUGAAAUAUGGGCAGUGUAUGAUGAUGAUGGUGAUGGGAUGCCAAGAAAUUACGCUUUUAUCCACAAGGUGAAUCAAUCAAUAUGUUCAAAAUAAAGGCUAUGCAGCAAAAAAGUAGAAUUCCAGGAAUGGCAGUUGCAGAAAGGAUAAUGAAUGCAGAAGUUGUUGACUUUGACCUUUUUACACCUUGAUUAGGUACUUGAGUCAUAGGGGAUUUUUAAUCGCUGAAACAUAUUGUAUAUGAUCCAAUUCAGUUCAUGUAAACAAAAUAUGGUAGAUACAUAUCAUUUAUUAUCCAUUUUAGGAAAGGAGAGGUUUGGGCUUUAUACUGAGAAUUGAAUGAGGAAGCCCGAAAUGAAUUCAAACAUAAGUAUGGAAUUGUUCAAGUUGAUGAGUCUGAUGAAGAAGAAGGGUUUAUGUUUACACAACUUAUGAAAGUUGUAGGCUUUAAAACUAUGUUUCAUAGGCAGAAAAAUGUCAAGGACAGAAGGGUAAUUCCAGAAAGUGAAAUAAUAUAGUUUUCACAUCAAAUCCCAUCUUACUUUCUAACUGGUCAAGAAUCUUUGAAUGCUCCAAAGGUUUGUUGUGAUCUGGAUCAUGCAGCUGCUCCUGCUGAAUUUCUUUAGGUUAUAGCAGUACAGCAAGAAGAAGAAGAAGAAAACAUCCAUGAGAGAGAGAGAGAGUUCCCAUUCAUGAUAUAAGGUUUUGUUAUUUGAGAUUUGUUGGCUUGAAAGAGAGAGAGAGAGAGAGUGCAUUAGGCAGUUAGACACUAUACAUAAUAGUUUGUCCCUAUUUUUAUACAUAUAGUUGUUUUGAUAAGGGUAUAUCAAUAUGUAUGAUAAAUAAUAGUAAUAUACCUUUCUUAUCUGAGUAUGUGGAAUAUCGUUGUAAUUUAUAGCAGAAAUUGUUGCUUUAUCACCCUCUGAGGCUGCAACAGUUGGAACAUCUUUCAUACUAGAAGCUACACAAACAAGAGAGCCCAAAUAAAUUAAACUUAAAUUUAAAGGUUAACAAUAUCCAGCUUCAGGUGAAUUGUAGAAUAUAAAAACUUCACAUAAAUAAAAUUAGAAUUUAAUGAAAAUCAAGAAAAUUUUGAAAUAAUCUGCAACAUCAUAAGCUUUUAAAGUCAACAAUCUUACUUAAGAAAAUUUUAAAAUAAUCUGAAUAGGUUUUGACAUAAUUUCAGACUCAUAACACAAGUGAACAAGUUUUGUUGUAUGUAAAGGGUAAAAUGAUAGAAAUAAGACACAAAGACCUAUCGUGGUUAGGACCGCUUUAUCCUAUAACCAAUAGUUGAGAAAUCGCAAGAUUUUGAAUCCAUUAAAAGAGUACUUCUAAUUUUUGAAUCGCAAGUUGAAGCUGAAAUGAUCAAAUGAAGAUGAGAAGAGCUUAAAUGAAUUAGAGAUUGCUCAAGAAAUUUGUGGUUCAAAAAGCUUUAGUAUUAUGUAUUAUGUCACUAGGUGUUGUAUUUAUACUUCUACAACAAGUCCAAUAUAUGUGCAUCUUUAAUAAAUUUCAUAAAGUUGUUUCUUGAACAACUUUCAUCUCUAUUUGCUACAUUAGGCUUGCCAAAAUAUUAUUCGAAGUGGAAUUAAAGAGAUCUAAUUCAAUUCAAUACAAAAAUUAAACAUGAUUGAUGCAAAACAUGAUCAUGGCUCCUUUUAGAUCCUUUCUCUGUGUUCCUAUAUCCUUUCUUUUUAUUUCAUAUUGCAUCGAUAAAACUCGAUUAUCAAUGAAAACAUAUAAUGUUUUGAAGCAUUUGAUUACUAUUUCGAUUGUCUUUUAUUGUCAUUUCUAUUUUAGGCAUGCCUUUGCUGUUUAUCAUAGAUUAAUGCUUAAAAAUUUACCUAAAACUAUGACAUAUUUAAGCUUUUCAAAUCAACAAUCUUACUCAAGUGAUUUUCUAAAGUUUUGUUUUUCUAAGCGUUUGAGUUUCAAUUCCAAUAGUUUUGUCUCAGAAAAUAGUCUGAGAUAAAACUAUGACAUCUUUAAGCUUGCUUUACUUAAUAUUAUUGUUUUUCAAUUGCAAUGGUUUUGUCUCGGAAACUAUCUCCGGUGAGGCUUGUUGAGAAACAUAUAAGGUUGUAGGUGAUCCUCAACUUCCUUUUUUGCAUCGUGCUCUUAUUGAAACAAGUGCAAAAUUACAAAGAUUUGAGCAAGUUGUUGAGAAGAAUAAAGAGACCCUAAAUCAACUAAAAGAACUCAAUGAUGAACAAGAAAGAGAUGUGGAUCAUGUUCGCCAAAGAGAUGAACUUUUAGCCAAGGAAUUCUCACAGAAACACGGAGUGCAUUCACCUCCCAUGGAGGUUUACACAAGACGAAACCAUAAACAGAGCAGCUAUAAUCGACAAUCGGAGGAGAAAACCGAACUUAGUGCAAGAAUAUACAUGAGGAUAAAACCCAACUAAGAGCAUCAGUUUUCUAGAAAUGUUACAUUGUGUUCAACUUGAGAAGCUUCAGAAGGUGAGAAACCCUUGAAUGUGUUCAAUUUAUCAUUGAUUUCAUGGAUACGAGGCGCUUCUUCUCUUUGUGUCGACUUUCUUCUUCUCUUUCUCUUAUGUUACUUGGUUCUCUAGCCAACCAGGGAAGUUGAGUUUGCCUGAAUCAUUUUAACAAGAACACCAAGCUCAAGUGAUUUAUCCAAUACCUUAAUCGGACCUAUGACACGUAAAAUUGAAUAGUCUCCAAUGAUCUUAGGUGAGCCCAAGGUCUUCGGCCACGCGAAGUCAUCCGAAAGAGAUGCAACCUUUCAUCGUUGGAGGAGAUGUUUUCUGCAAGGCAAGGCGAGAGUUGACGAUCGAUUGUAGAGAGUGUAUUGAGUGAUGAUCAUUGAGUGUUUUGAUUUUUGUUUGAAAAGCCCUAGGAUAUUUUAGUAGUACCUCGAUUUUUGGCGCACAUUUCAUUAAAAUUAAAAGGCGACGCUUAUAGAGGACGCACGUUUAAUAUAAAGCGCCCUCCGUGUUUUUGAAUUUUUUUUUUCUUUGAGACACUAAUUUAAUGGCACGAAAUAAUUCAUGAUCUAAAUACUUAAAUUUUUUGAAGAUAUGACACCAUUUUAAGGUCACUCUAUUCUGCAUAACAUAAAUCUUUGAGUGUCAUGGUUUGCACGUCGUAAAAGGGUAUUUUUGUAGUAGUGGUAGUUGGUGCAAAAAUCCUCCUUGGGUCUGCAAGUGGAUUCAGAACCCUUCCGAUGUUGCCAUUCUACUAUGACAUAGGUAAUAUUGUGAAGAGUCUCACCUCGUGAAUAUCACACUAACACAAGAAAUCUUUGUCAGUGAAAACUAGUACUAGAAUCACCUAUUCAUCAAUAUAUAAGUACCAACUUAGUCUACAAUCUAAAACCCUCAAGUUGACUAAAAAGUCAAUGGUCAAAGUCAUCCCUAACCAACUUUCCACGUUGUGGCAGGUACAUGACAAAACAAUCGUGGUGAAACUAGUCUCCAUUUCGUGGAAAGCAUACUGUCACGCCUUGGAAAUUGGGCUCUUGUAGCUUAAUGAAUUAAGCUCUUUACC